rnacentral:lncRNA from 1 species
AAUUUUCUCAACAAGUUUUCACAUGUUAGGCCAAUAAAAAUGCUCAUGUAAAACAUCAUAAGUCUUAGUGACUCCAAAAUGACUCAUAAGACCACCACUAUGAGCCUCUCGAACCAACAAUUCUCGCAUUGAACACUUUGGUAAGCAUAGUCUAUUAUUUCGAAAAAGAUAGCCAUCAUGCUUAUAAAAUUUGUGAAAUGCACCAUGUUCACAUGCGUCAUAAAUGCUUGCAAAAUCAAAAUCAGUGGCAUAUAAAUCUUUGAGAUACUCAAAACCUAAUAACUUAGUAUGCAAAGUACUAAGUAAAGUGUACGUCCUUGAUAGAGCAUCAGCCACAAUAUUAUCUUUACCUUUCUUAUACCUUAUAACAUAAGGAAAAGAUUCAAUGAAUUCAAC